UUUUCCUUUUAUUUCAAGCUCACAAAAGGGAAAAAUACCUAAAACAGAAAGACGAGUGCUUGGAGUGUGAAACACAAAAUCAAGAACUGAAUGACCCAAAAAGAUAAAAGCUAGACCAACUGGCAACGAUACAUACACAAAUAAAGACAUGCACACACAAACACAAGGAGGGGGACGAGGAAAAGAGGAGUAUUUAGGUACAUGUCGACCUAAAACCACAUCUAAGGAGAGAGAGAAAGAGGGGUUUUCUUCUUCUUUACCUGAGAUAGUGUGGAGAGAGGGGUUUUCUUCUUCUUUACCUGAGAUAGCGAGAAACGUUUCCGAGUUUCAGUACUUACACAGUUACACCCAAAAUUUAAGCUAAGAACAAGGGAUAUUUGGGGUAAAGAAACAUAACAUAAAGUUUGAAUUUUGGAAGUCUGAAUGGAUAAAUAGAGUACAAAAAGGAGGGAAACGGAAAAGACUAAAGAGUGCGGUUCAUGCCCUUAUCCUACGAGGAUAACAUAUGGCUGAAAAUAUAAAGAGAAAGUUUGAAUUUUGGAAGUCUGAAGGAUAAAUCGAGUACAGAAAGAAGGGAAAUGGAGUACAAAAAGGAGGGAAACGGACAAGACUGAACAGUCACAGCCAC
rnacentral:lncRNA from 1 species